rnacentral:lncRNA from 1 species
CCAGAGUCGUAAAGGCAGAAACAAACGUGAUCGGAAUCAUGUAGAAGAAAAUGGUCAGAGCCACUAUAAUGUAGAUGACGUACUGCCGUAUCUGUCGCUGAAAAAACUUAAUCGCAAGAUUAGUCCAUAUGAUUUGACGAGGUUCAGGUGCAUCCAUCACAAUCCAUUUGUCAGGCAUUGUGGCAUGCAGGCUCUGUGCUGCAGAGGCUGCGGUCACCCUGUUAGUAAAGAAGACCAGAGCCGCUGCUUGCUGCUUAUCUCUCAAGGUGGCUAUCUGCUCAGCUUCAAGCUUUGGAGUCAGUUCACUGAUCUUCUCACUGUAGUAUUCUAUACUGUCCACCUUUUCCCCAAUAAGACCUAGGAAGCCGGUUUUGUUUGUGGGUCUUACUCCUUCCGGUUUGCCGGUUGUCUUUGAUUCUCCAUAAAUUUUUUCAGCACGUACAAGCUUUUUCUUGUACCCUUCCAACUCUUUGUAGAUUUUGUUAACCUACAUGAUAACAUAUAACAAGGAAAGGUCUCUCAAUGGAUGAAAUCAAAAGAUGAAAGAACAAGUUGUUCUACUAUGCCUACAUUCUCUGUCACGAUAUAUGACCAAAACUUUCACGAGAGGAACUUUUAAGUAUACGACAGAUCUUUAUCCCUCCAAGUAUUUCCGGGCAUGGAUGAGAUAAUGCCUCUAUGAACAAUACGGGGUCUGCGGCAGUGGCACAGUAAAGAAGUCCAUAAACCAUGAUCUUUUUAUUUUUUAUUUUAAAGGUUGAACUGGGAAGUAAACUACGAUAUAUUGAAUACUGCAUUCCCAACCCUCUCUUGGUACUGAAAAACACCUAUUUUGUCCUUUAAUAAAUCAGAGAGCACCCAUACAGUGGGGUAAGGUUCAACCAUGAUUGUUUUCAAUACACAUACAAUGAAGUCAUGACCUCAACUAUUUGUGUUAAGUAGGACUAUCUCUCUAUGGUGGUCUUAUUUUGGUUCAUUAAUAGUAGUGCGGCUACUUCUGCCAUAUGACAAACCACAUAAAUGCACUUCCUUGUUUUGUGGACUUCAUAUCACACUCCCACUUAAAGCUGCCCAACAAACUGCUAUCUCCCUUUUGCUUCGGUCUUUCCUUGAGAACCUCUACAUAACAAAAGGGCUCAAUACUCAUCCAGCCCCACAGUAAUACAUAAUUACUCAUCAAGCCCCACAGUAAUUUAUAAUCCUCCUCAACUAGAAUUAAUUAUGAAAAUAGUCCAAAGCCAGGUCAGCAGUUCCUAACCAGUACCAUGAUAUAAAUAGCACUAGCUGCACCGCCACUGUGGUGGAGAAAUCAUUAAAAGACUAACCAUCAGGAACCACACAGUCUUUUUUAUGAUAUUCUCACCUGUGUAUUCUAGCCAGCAACCAGAUACUUUAAAUAGUCGCAAUAUAUACUCACAUGCAUGUCAAUAUAGUUAAAAAAAGGACAAAGUUUGCAGAACUUAUAGCAAGACUUAGCAUAGCAACAACUGAGGAACAAAUAGAGUAUUCUAGAAAGAAACAUUAGAAAGCAUACCUCUUUAUUAUUAGUCACUAUCAUCGACCUGUAAAAUGCAUCGGGAUAAAUAGACUUGAAAUAUGAAUCAACUUGUUCCUUCAUAAUUUGACCUUCUGGGGCAGGAGGUAUGUCUCUCACAAGGACAGCAAAGUGCUCUGCUCUCACUUCGGGAAGUAUUAAAGCAGCUGCUCUCAAAGCUAAAACGUGUUUGUAUGCCUUCCACAACAGGUAGUAUGCAACAAUUGAGACCCAGUAAGUAGCUAUCAGGAAUACCCACAACCUCGAACUUUUCUCCUGUACAUACAAAAGAAUGUGACUUAGAAAACAAGCACUGAUUUUCUCUACUCAACAACAUUGUCCACCAAUUCCUUCCCCACCAAGUAUGAUAUGAUGAAUACCUCCAUAGUUUCCAAAAUCUACUUCGAUCAAUGUCCUAAAAUUAUGGUAGAAUUAGGAAAUGCAACAUUUCUCUCUACCCUUGACAAGACAAGAAAAAAGAAAAUCCUUGUGCAAGAUUUCUAAAACUUACUGCCACAUUUCCCAUUGACAACUUGUCAAGAUCACUGAAUGUCCCAUUGCUGGUUGUGUCUGAUGAUGCGAUUGGAGUUUUGUCAGUGACAGCAACAGGUAGAAGAAUCGGUAGGAGCACAAUGCCGGAUAAAACUAAUAUUCCCAACACUGUCACGAAGUAAAAAGGGAAAAAGUCUUCAGGAUUGUCACUUCUACAGACGGCAGAGUAUUUCAAAUAUACAAGCACAAGAGUUCAUCUAAAACAAUACAAGAAAAACUAAAGUGAAAGCUUCCACAAUUAUGGAUUCUAAAACAUGCAAAACAGAGUUCUGACCAUCCAGGGGACCUCGAUACCAAUAUGUAUGCCAUAAAUUAAAUUGAGUGAUUGUAGAGAAUACACAAACAAGAAGCAAAGGAUAACAGAGAAAUGGCAACUUUAGACUUGUUUAUAAGUCCCACCUCAUUUGUGUCGAGAAUUCCAAUCGCCUGUAAUUAUUGAUAGCUGAUGACAGAUAUAAUUAGAUUGCCUGCUAGUACGCGGGACUUCUAUGUAACUAAGAAUGCCAACCCCCCAUUACUGUCCCACAUAUGGGAUUACACAGGUAAAAUUCUUAGGAAAAUAGAAAAUCUACUUCUCUUUUCUCCUUAAAAUGAGAAACCAUCCCUUCCCCCCCCCCCCCCAAAAAAAAAAAAAAAAAAAACAAAACAAAUGUCACAAAGCCUAACUUAUUUGAGAGGUUAUAAACACGAAUGCUCAUCAAAAUCUGAUUGUAGCUAAUUUCCUGCAACAACAGAAUGCAAGUAUGGUGAGUGCCUCGAUAUCAACUCUUCCGGUUAAGCACAACUGUUAGUGCAAGUGGUAUGUAUCACCAGCCCCACAGUAUGUGUUUAAAAAAACGCUUGGGCUCACCAACCAUGUUGCAAAAAGGAGCGAUGACUAUCACUUAGGAUAAUGGAGCAGCACAAAUUGCAGGUCAUAUUUGGCCCUAGAAACUCAAAAUCCACUCACAAUCACGAAAAAAGACCUAUUUUCGUAUUUCCAUCUAGGUGAGUCUAACUUCUUACUCCACAAAUUGCGCCAUUUAAUCAAGUGAUGCAGGAUAGGAUUCCGGCCAUGGCAUGAAAGCAAAAUGCUGCGAGAAGUGUCAAUGUAGCCCUUGAAAUGGAUUGUCCUAAAGGCAUGAUUUAGCAACCAAAUCAACCACUAAAAUUCAUCAAACAGACCGAAAAUCAUAUACCAUAAACGAGCCAAACCAAAACAACACCCAUAAAAGAAAGAUUAACCAAUAAAAAGGUGCAGCCACCUUCACCUGAGAACCACUAGAAAGCACAAAAAGAAGCAAUCAUCUUCAGAAAGAACAGUCCACGACUCCCACUCGACUUGCAGAAAGACGCACCCAAGCGCCGCGUUCAAACCAACCAGUGAACAACGACGGACCCCGCCGCCCCCGGCAGCCGCUACUCCCCCAGAAGAAGCGCCAACGUCACAUUACAAGCACCCAAACAAAGCAAGAAAGGAACAGACAACGGCGGAAAAAAUAAAAAUAAAAAUAAAAAUAAAAGGCACGGCACGGCCACUCACCGGUGCUGAGGAAGACGAAGUAGACGGCGGUGUCGACGCCGGACACGGCGACGACGUCCUGCUCGGUGGAGGAGAGGGCCUCGCGGAUCCAGGCGAAGGGGUUGCGGGAGGUGCGGUUGCCGCCCUCGAAGGGGUCCACGCCCCUGAGGAGGCGGUUGGGGUAGUACACCACCUUGUUCCCGGGCCGGCGGGAGAGCCACGGGAAGAGGACCAAGAGGACGAGGAAGAUCACGAAGGACGUGAUCAUCGACGUCAGGAACGCGCUGAAAUCCAUCUCGGUAUCCCCCGCCGCCGCCGCCGCCGCCGCCGCUGCCGCCGCCUACCUCUGCCGCCUCGGCACCAAGCUUCCUUCACAGCGUCACAGCGCCAGGGAGGGAAAGAGAAAGACAGUUUUUUUCUUUCUCGCGGAAUGCGAAGUGGGCAGGGAGAGGAAAGGUCAGGGGGGAGAGGGUGGUGGUGGGCUAUGGCGUUGGUGGAGUUAUAAUAACGCAAAGCAUGUCGACUGGAGAGACGAGGAGAGAGAGAGAAAGCUGACGGGGCUUAGAGAGAGAGAGAGAAAAAUCUGGCUGCUGUGGAGAAAAUGGUGAUGAGCUGGCCUGUGGGGCCGCCUCGCUGCUUUGCUUGCGCGGCUCGCUCUGCGUGGGAAUUAUCUUUGCUGCAUUUUUUCUUUUGGAUUCGUGGUGGUGCAGCAUGUUGCAUCGUUAUUUUACUGCACAGACAGAGAGAGGGAGAGAGGGAUGAAGGAAGGGAGACCGUUGAGGUGGGGGAGAGCGCUUUCUUUUCUUGACCCGCCCGCCUUCCUGCGAAUCGGGGACGUUCUUGUCCGCGCGGCAAUCGAAUCCUCCCGCGGUCCUCACGCGUAGCAAGUGGUCGACGGGACGGGACGUGCCUUGCUACUCUCCGUAGACAGUUCAUACCCACCCAGUUCAAACACAUCAUAAAGUCAACACCGACUUAGCUUCUGGUCGGUCGACAUACACAAAUUUCGGAUUACGUAAUUUUCUUUUCUCCAUUUCUUCCAUCAACUUAUCCAUCUUUUCAAAGAACUCCCUUUUCUUAACUUCUACCAUAAAAAAAAAUAAUAAUAAUAUCAUGAAAAACCCCAAAUAGCUACGUCCGUAAUUAAUUUACCCAAGCCAAUUUUUUGACAACCAAAAACUCUAAACUAUUACUUCCGUAUUAAAUUUCUCAAACUAAUACAUUUAUAACAAAUUUAACCUCUGUUUAUUUCCAUUAAAAUUGGAUCAAUAUCAUACAAAAUCACAAAAUGGUACACAUGUGAUAAAUAAAUGGUAAAACCCCAAAAUGGUAUAUUCGUUAACUGCCACGUGUCAUCCAAUUCAGUAACUUGACGAUAAAAUUUAAUAAAAAUUAACGGAGAAUAAAUUUAUCACAAAUAUAUCAAUUUAGUUUUUGUUGUCACUAAUACACUAAAUUUGGGUUUUUAUGGCAUUGACAUUAAAAAAUAAUUAUAUAAGUGUAUUAAAGCCCCAAAACUUAUCGCGAAAGUGCAAUUAAAUCAUAAAAAUUUGAAAAGUACAAUCAAAUCACACAACUUGUCAUGAAAGUAUAAUCGAAGCUUGAAACUUUUGAAAAGCAAUCAACAAAAAGACUUAACUAGAUCAAUUUAACAAGUUUUAGAAUGUUAAAGCUCUUUUUAAAAGUUUUAGGGCUCAAUUACACUUUCAUAACAAAUUUUAGGAUUUAAUUUCAUCUUCAUGACAAGUUUUAGAAAUUAUAAUACAUUUAUCUCUUUAAUAAUAAAGGGAUGUAGAUACAAAAUACUUUUAUUUGCUGACAAUUUUUUUUUCUUAAAGUUGCCCCUUGUUUAAAUAAAGACAUGACCAUUUCUAAGAAAGUAGACACCACAAAUUCCAUAAUAUUCAUAUGGCACUCGAUUUUAUGCCAUACAUUUUCAAUCGAUCACCCAAGUGUCUGAAAAUUUGUUAAGACAUUAAAACUUGUGGCUUUUGUGGUGAAUAUCUUUUAAAAGUUAUGGCAUUAAGUUAUUGAUAGAAAUUAUUAUGACACCAAAGUAAGCAUUAUAUGAAAGUUAUAGCAUACUAGGUGUCCACCUAUCAUCAUUUCAUCACUCAUCUCCUUCUUGCAUCGAGGGAGAAUUACAAAUUACAAAUGGGCAAAAUGUCUUGUUGUAUGGAUGUUAAUUCAAUCUUAAACUUUAUAGUUUACUUAAUUUAGUCUUUAACAUUUACACGAAAUUUCAAUUUAGACCUUCUGACCAAGUCUCAUUGGAAACCGCUAACGAGGCAAUGUGCCGCGUAAAAUAGCUGACGAUGGCUAAACCGCUAUGUCAGCAAUUUUCAACAAAAAUUGAUCAAAGUGACCAUAUUGAAAUUUUGCCCAAGGGUUUAGAACUAAAUUAAUCAAAUUAAAAUGUUUAGAGUUGAAUAUAAAUUUUUAGGACUAAUUGGGCAAUUUUCCCUCAAUGUCAUUCUAUGUAUUCUAAUGAAAAAACAUGUUAAAAGGACACUUAUUCAGCAGCAAUAAGUGUGAUUAGAAGUAUAAAUCUUUUAAGUACCUAGACAAUUUGCUUUUUUUCGUAUUUUUCCCCAUAAUUAGUGUUGUGAAAUUAGUUUUUAACAAAAGUCAUUUUAGUUAAAAUUAUAUGAUGUAAUUUCUAUGAGCCUUCUUUGUAUUGUAGCCACACAUCAAGAGUUACCACUUACACACUUACUACCCAUGAUUAAAUGAGACAGUUGAAGUAAUUAAGCAGAAAGGGAAUACCUUACCAAACGCACUCUUCUAUCUUUUCUUGAACAAUAACACGUUUACAAAAGAUGUGCAAAAUUACACUAAAAAUUACCACUAAAACACUUACUACCUAUGAUUAAAUGAGAUUAGUUAAAAGUAAUUAAGCAGAAAGGAAGACCCGAAUAAAAGCACUCUUUUAUCUUUUCUUGAACAAUAACACGUUUAUAAAAGAUGCACAAAACUACACUAAAAACUACACAGAUGAAACACAAACAAAUUCGCUUCCUAUGACAUUACUGGCCAAAUCUAGCGUAACUUCCUACAAGUUUGCCUGCUUUGAUAAACACAAGAAAGAAACAUUCCAGUUGGGGAGAAAAUAUACUGAUAAUAUUUACAUCAAGCAAACGAGCCCGCCCUUGAAACAUGAGACAGAGCAUCCUCGAAGCGGUCAUCUUCCACCUUCUCCGAGCACAAGCUUGGAGGGACAUAAGUUCGGAAGAUGCGCUCCAUGUGCAGCGUCUCCUUCAGCUCGUGUGAGGCAACUUCCAGCGCCGGGCAGCAGAAGAAGCGAUAGAACUUCUUGUUACACACGUAGGCAAAGAUAAGGCUCGAGAUGAUCAGCGGCACCAGGAAAGGCGCAAAGACGAAUUUCUUUGCCCCAAAGUAGGCAAGCAUAGUGAGCUGGUAAAGGACAAGAGCAGCUAGGAUUCGCAAAUGCAUGUGCGGCCACAUUCUUCCGUAACUCUCAUAGGAUGGAACAUAAACCUUAAGUGCCUGUCCACCAAAACGAUCAUAUGAAAGUUAAGGAAUGCUCUAGAAGAGGCAAAGAUGUGCAAAGUUUUUGACUUGAAACUAAAGUAUGACGUCGAAUUAGCCACUCAACCUGAUUUCGAAGAAUAAGCCAUCCUAAGCCGAAGUAUACAACACCAAAUGGGAUGAUCAGAGGAGCAAUGACAGAAUAGCAGAGGGUAAUCGUGACGAUCAGCAUGUCUCCAGGAACUCUGGUCGCGUAUUUUAGAUCUCCAGGAAACCAUGCUUCUUUGACUUCAGCUUCAGUCUUGCAAAGGUAUUUCCUCUUCAAGUGAAAAAUAAUCAGAGGAACGAUCCGAGAAAGCUCGAGACCGUAGCCAACAAAGAACCUGAUGGCCAUUUCCCCAAAUUCAGACAUUAGCAUCAUCACUCUACCAAGAAAGCAGAGGAAAAAGUCCAUGCAAGAACUAUGAAGUGAAACGUAACCAUACUAUUGAUAAUAGAAGACUACAAAUUAUGAGAAUAACAAACUGCCCUAAUGCACACAUAAGCAAAUCCAACUCAAUUUUUUUUCUUUUUGUUCCCUUUCGCAUCAAAUAAGAAUCAGAAUCUGUCACUCAGCAAGUUAGAAGUUAAUAGAAGACUGAGGAGGAACAAAAACAUCUUACUGCAAAGCAACGUAAGUGAGGAAAAAUGUUGCAUUUCCAGGUAGACUGGCCGCCAGUACUGUGAGGAGAGAGUUGGGAUCUUUCUCAAUCUCUUUGAAUGUAGCAAACAAGGUUCCACCCACAGUAACGCCAAUAAACACAUUCAAGACCGUGAAGUAGAAGUAUUUUCCAGAGGCAGCACGUUCUAUAUGGCUCUGGGAAGGAAUCCCCUCUAGCUUUGACAGAAACAACAGCAACUUGGGCAACAAAGCCAGGAACACAAUGAGCGCAAUCUGAGGGAGAUAAGCUUCCAACACAGUUUUGAUCGCUGCAAUUUUCACAAUCGGCUUCAAAAACGGGAGAUAUUUCUUCAGAUUUUCCAGAGUCGUAAAGGCAGAAACAAAUGUGAUCGGAAUCAUGUAGAAGAAUAUGGUCAGAGCCACUAUAAUGUAGAUAAUGUACUGCCGUAUCUGUCGCUCGAAAAACUUAAUCGUAAGAUUAGUCCAUAUGAUUUGACGAGGUUCAGGUGCAUCCAUCACAUUCCAUGUGUCAAGCAUUGUGGCAUGCAGGCUCUGUGCUGCAGAGGCCGCGGUCACCCUGUUAGUAAAGAAGACCAGAGCUGCUGCUUGCUGCUUAUCUCUCAAGGUGGCUUUCUGCUCAGCUUCAAGCUUUGGAGUCAGUUCACUGAUCUUCUCGCUGUAGUAUUCUAUACUGUCCACCUUUUCCCCAAUAAGACCUAGGAAGCCGGUUUUGUUUGUGGGUCUUACUCCUUCCGGUUUGCCGGUUGUCUUUG